AUAUCAAUAAGCGGAGGAAAAGAAACUAACAAGGAUUCCCCUAGUAACUGCGAGUGAAGCGGGAAAAGCUCAAAUUUAAAAUCUGGUGGCUUUGGUCAUCCGAGUUGUAAUUUAGAGAAGCGUCUUCCGCGCUGGACCGUGCACAAGUCUCCUGGAAUGGAGCGUCAUAGAGGGUGAGAAUCCCGUCUUUGGCACGGACGCACCAGGGCUUCUGUGAUGCGCUCUCGAAGAGUCGAGUUGUUUGGGAAUGCAGCUCAAAAUGGGUGGUGAACUCCAUCUAAAGCUAAAUAUUGGCGAGAGACCGAUAGCGAACAAGUACCGUGAGGGAAAGAUGAAAAGCACUUUGGAAAGAGAGUGAAACAGUACGUGAAAUUGUUGAAAGGGAAACGCUUGAAGUCAGUCGCGUCGACCGAGACUCAGCCUUGCCUUGGCUUGGUGUACUUCUCGGCUGACGGGUCAGCAUCAAUUUCGCCCCUCGGAUAAUGGUGAGGGAAAUGUGGCACCUUUGCGGGUGUGUUAUAGUCCUUUGUCGCAUGCGAGGGUUGGGAUUGAGGAACUCAGCACGCGCCUUUCGGCGUCGGGGCUCUGCCCACGAUACGUGCUUAGGAUGUUGGCGUAAUGGCUUUAAACGA
rnacentral:rRNA from 1 species